GAGAGAAAAAAUGGUGUCUGCGUAGGUGACAGAGUAGGAACAACUGCACAGAGCCCAGAAAUUCCUUGUUGUAGGGUUUUUACUGUUCUCACUGCAUCCUCUCACCUCAAAAGCCUUCCAGCCCAGAGCCUCUCCGGCAGCGAGGUUCCAUGUGGAGUGACAAACCCAGAAGGCCAGCUGCUGCUGUCACGCGGAGCACUGCAGGUAGACCGUGCCCAUAGCUUUGGUACGUUGCUUUUCACCAUAGCCAUGUACUUGCUGAAUAGAAUUCAAAUUAGCUAUAAGAAGAGAAAAUCCUGGGAAAAAUCUAAUCAGGCAUAUGUGUUUUACAACUAUAAGAUAAUUCAUUUAGAGUUUUACGAGGAACAAAAUCACUCCUGCCUUCCCUAAGCGAUCCAUCGGAAAGGCAAAUGUGCAAACAGUCAGCAUGGCAGGGAGGUCCCGCGAGGAGUUCCACUACCACAAAGUAUUACAUACUUUUCUGUAAUUGCUUUAAGAAGUUAUGUUCAAAUGUGUUAGCAAACAGUUGCUCUUUUUUUUUUUUUUUUUUUUCUGUCUAGACACAGGCUUUUUCACUGGAAUAAAAUUUGUUGGUGCCUUUCUGAUUUUUUUUUC
rnacentral:lncRNA from 1 species